rnacentral:snRNA from 1 species
GUGCUCAUUUUGGCAGCACGGAUACUAAGAUUGGAACAACACAGAGAAGAUUAGCAUGGCCCCUUUGCAAGGAUGACAUGCAAAUUUGUGAAGCAUUCCAUAUUAAA